GAGUUGCUUUUUCCUUGCUAGCCUUUGUCAGGCUGGGAAACAAAGGGAUGCAUCUGAGGCAAGACUGGAGAGGUAUAGAGCACUGGAAAAUGGCAUGAGCCUGGUGCUGCAGUUCAGGAGAGGCUGGGAUUGACAGGGUACAGAAAUCUGUUCCAUGGCAAGGAGGGAAGAAUUUGGAGGGAUACAGUUGUCAGGAUGUUUUUAUAGGAUGUUUUACUUUGGCAAAAGUACUUGCGUUAUGAAAAUAACACAGAGACCAAGCGGAGCUGAAGUCAGCUGCCACCUGUGUCUUGUUCCCCUCAAAAUCUCACCACAUGCAUCUACAGCA